rnacentral:rRNA from 1 species
UACGUAAGAGACUAGUGUUAUUCAUCUUAAUUAGGUUUAAAGGGUACCUAGACGGUCAAUAUAGCUUCUAAAAUGUUAGUACUUGACUAGAGUUUUAUGUAAGAGAGCAGUACUUGAGGAGGAGAGAUGAAAUUCUAUGAUACCAAAAGGGACUCGGUAAAGGCGAAGGCAGCCCUCUAUGUGAAAACUGACGUUAAAGGACGAAGGCACAGAGCACAAACAGG